GUUGAAACACCGGUUCCUGUACGAUCAUCGAAGUUAAGCAACGUCGAGCUUGGUCAUUACCUAGAUGGGUGAUCGAUUGGGAAUACCAGUUUCUGUA
rnacentral:rRNA from 1 species